GGCUGUGGCUCAGUGGUAGAGCGGUCACCUAGCCUGCAUGAGGCACUGGGUUCGAUCCUCAGAGCCA
rnacentral:tRNA from 1 species